AGAGGUGCUGUAGUCAGCUCCUCUGGUGGUUCAUCCUUUCACAAGCACCCCAAAAAAACCCUCUCCCAAACCAUCACCUCCCCUCCUCCCUCAAAAGAGGGUUUCAUAACUUCCUUCUAUUGCAGGCAAGCCUCAGAAAGCCCUCUCUAGCCCAUCUAGUCUUAAAAGGAGACACCUGUAGCCACAUCUGCCUAAGAGGAGCAGUUCAGCUGCACUCUGCUCCCAGACUGGAGCCUGCAGCAAGUUUCCUACCUGCAGUAGAAAGGACCUCACUACCUGUCCCCAGCUAUACCUAGCAUCUCCUUCAAGGUAGCUCUCCAGAUGGAGGGGACAUGAGGGAAUGUGUCGAUUCCUGCUCCACCGCAGACUCCCCCUGUGACCAUGGGAAGUCGCUGAGUCUGUCUGUGCCCCAGCUCUAUCCAUACGAUGAGGACAAGACCACUUCCUUCCUCACAGAGGUGUGGUGAGGAUAAAUGCACUAGACUGUGAGGCACUCAGUGAGGCGGGCCAUACCUAGCAUAAAUAAAUGGAGACGCCCAUCCAUAACAGGAGAAGAAGCUUACGUCCUGGGUCAGGUCUUUCACCACCAAGCUUGGCCCCUGAAACCAACAUCUGCCACUGCUUUAACCAAAUCUGUGCCCUUGGAAACCCACCUCUCCUCAAAGAAACAGACCAGUGCCCUGGCUUCCUGCUCCUCAUUUAAUAACCCUCAAGGAUUCUCCAGCCAGCUACCAUAAUGAGAUCUGCAGCAGCAAGACCGGCCACCAAACGCUAACCCCUCCCGACAGAGGGGAGGAAGCUGUGACUCUAGGAAGAAGGGCACCAGCCUCUCUGGUGCUCAGAGGUGUUCUCCUAGCCAGUCAUUGGCAGCAGCCCUGCCAAUACGCCUCCACCCUACAUGAAAGAAUCCAUCCUUGUUCUGAUGCAUCAGAUCUCACUUGAAUGUCCAAUCAACUUCAAAUGCCUCGCACCUUGGCAACAUGAUGCCACGUGUCUGGAACCUGCAUCUGACCUUGCGUCUGCCAUGGGCAGCAGAGGAGCCGCAGUCGUCAUUACUAGAAGCAACGAUGCCCCACCCAUCAGAUUGCAAGCAUGAAGUUAACAUACAAGAUUCCAGCUCUCUCCACUGCUGUUAACUUUUCCCCAGCAUGCAUUAUCUGGGAUGAAGUGGAGCUAUAUUUUCCCCAUCUUGUGAAACACACUGUCCAUAUUGUCACCGCAGUUAUUCCCAUCUAUCAAGAUGAACCAGGUAACUAUAGGAUGAAAAUGCGACUGAUUCUUGAUACAUGAUUUUUAUUGGUAUCUGACCCAGCACCCAUUGAAAUGGCUCUGGGUGGAGCUGGAAGCAUAGCAGAAUACCAAAUGCAUGUACUCCUCCUCCCCACAUAACUCUGCACAUGCUCAGGACAUCAAGGAUCCGCUCUGUCUCUAGCUCAGGAUCAAAGAGUCCAGUUAUGGUCCCACAGCCACUUAAGAAAAUGAAAAGAACAUUUUUGUUUCUUCCUUCUGAAGUGUUCAAAAUAUUGAUGCCUUUAAAAGCGCUUAAAGCCAAGAGAAUUUUAACUUAGAACAGACUGAUCUUGAAAGCCUGCUUUCACUCUGAGGAAAACAGAAUCAUUAAACUCAACUCGGGCAAAAUGCUACACUCUAAUGCAGGCAAUGUACCUCAAUUCCCAGCACAUGUGUAAAACUCAGUCAGAUCAUAGGAAUGGUCCUUUCAGUCUUGUCUCCAACACCACCAGUACCAAAUACUUCAAAGGAAGGUGCAAGAAACCCCAUUCUGGACAAUGAUGGAAUAAUCCACCCGGAUGGAGAGUUUUUGGUGUGAGCAGAGGUGUGGGUGAGAAGAAUUGUGCAUACUCCUGCAGUGCCAGAGCCAAAAGGUCUUGGAGAGACUCAAGCCCACAAGAUUGCCACAUCUGAAACCCGCAACUUCAACUUCCCAGCCUCUUAUGGGACAGAACUGAUUCACUGCGGGUGAGGCAGAAGGAUUUCCCUGCCUGAGUUCCACUGCUCUGCUGUAAGGCUCCGGCUUGGCUAUGUGGGAUGUCCCCUCUCCAGGCUUGAGAGCCGCCACUCCAGCCCGAGCCAUAACAUCUACACAAGCUCUGCUAGCAGGGAUCCAGGCCUGGAGGCCUCCCCAGGUGCAGUGUUGACAUACCCUGCAUGACCGAGGGAGAUGACUGGACUAGCAGUGAGCUCUCCUCAGUGUGGUGAUGCAGGAGAUGGAUGGGAAGGAGGUGCGGGAGCUGAGAGAAGAUCAGGAAACUGGACAGGGGCCUGAGGAAGGAAAGGCAGGAAGGGGAUGGAGUUGGUCUGUGUCUGGGGGCACGAGAGAUGGAAAGAUGCCAUUAGAGGUAAAUUAAAGGAGAGAUUUUCAGCACCGACGGGCUGGACAGCAGCUCCCCAGGAUGAGAACUCCACCCCAAGAAAGCAGCUCCAGGGCAUUGUUACAAUCCCUUUUAUUUCCUCCCUGGCCAAGGAAGGCAUUUGCUUUGUCUUCUGUUAUUAGUUACUAUUUAUGUAGACUUCCCAAAUUCAUGAUCAUCUAGGCCUCCUACAUAACCCUGGCCGUAGUAUUUCACCCGGUGAUUCCUACUGAGCCCAGCAUUUUGUAGGAACUAGUGCACUCUGUUGAGAGAGACAGAGGGAAGGGUCCACCAGCAUCCCGGCAAGGACUGCUCGCCACAACUCUGCCCUCAUUUUAUGGCUUCUUACGGCUCUCAUCAUUGAAAUACGUAGGUGUCAUUGGACAACAAGUACAGUCAGAGAAGGAGGCCAAGAUUUGCAAUAAUGGGUGCCCAAAGUAAAGCUCCGGAGUACAUAUCUAGGCAUCCACAGAAAUAACCUGAUUAUACAGGUCAGCUCCCACUAAUUGAGUUUGGUAUCUAAGUCUGCAUUUAGGAGUCUAACAGGAGUAAACCAUUUUUAAAAAUCUUUCCCUAAAUUUGGUUAAGAUUCCUCUAGAUGAUCCUUCCCUCCCCUUUUAAUAAAUGAGCAUAUUUGCCUCAACCUUUAUCCAGAUUGUGCCAUUUCUAUUUGUCAGUUAG